GACGAACGCUGGCGGCGUGCUUAACACAUGCAAGUCGAACGGUGAAGCGCCUUCCUUUUUGGUGGGCGUGGAUGAGUGGCGAACGGGUGAGUAACACGUGAGUAACCUGCCCCCUUCUUCUGGAUAACCGCAUGAAAGUGUGGCUAAUACGGGAUAUUCUGGGUCUGUCGCAUGAUGGGUCUGGGAAAGAUAUUGUUUCGGUGGGGGAUGGGCUCGCGGCCUAUCAGCUUGUUGGUGGGGUGAUGGCCUACCAAGGCGGUGACGGGUAGCCGGCCUGAGAGGGUGGACGGUCACACUGGGACUGAGACACGGCCCAGACUCCUACGGGAGGCAGCAGUGGGGAAUAUUGCACAAUGGGCGCAAGCCUGAUGCAGCGACGCCGCGUGAGGGAUGGAGGCCUGCGGGUUGUGAACCUCCUUCGCCAGUGAAGCAGGCCUGCCUCGUUUGUGGGUGGGUUGACGGUAGCUGGAUAAGAAGCGCCGGCUAACUACGUG
rnacentral:rRNA from 1 species